rnacentral:rRNA from 1 species
GGCGGCGUGCCUAAUACAUGCAAGUCGAACGCUUUUUCUUUCACCGGAGCUUGCUACACCGAAAGAAAAAGAGUGGCGAACGGGUGAGUAACACGUGGGUAACCUGCCCAUCAGAAGGGGAUAACACUUGGAAACAGGUGCUAAUACCGUAUAACACUAUUUUCCGCAUGGAAGAAAGUUGAAAGGCGCUUUUGCGUCACUGAUGGAUGGACCCGCGGUGCAUUAGCUAGUUGGUGAGGUAACGGCUCACCAAGGCAACGAUGCAUAGCCGACCUGAGAGGGUGAUCGGCCACACUGGGACUGAGACACGGCCCAGACUCCUACGGGAGGCAGCAGUAGGGAAUCUUCGGCAAUGGACGAAAGUCUGACCGAGCAACGCCGCGUGAGUGAAGAAGGUUUUCGGAUCGUAAAAACUCUGUU